GGCGCGUCUAUACAUGCAAGUCGAGCGGACAGAAGGGAGCUUGCUCCCGGAUGUUAGCGGCGGACGGGUGAGUAACACGUGGGUAACCUGCCUGUAAGACUGGGAUAACUCCGGGAAACCGGAGCUAAUACCGGAUAGUUCCUUGAACCGCAUGGUUCAAGGAUGAAAGACGGUUUCGGCUGUCACUUACAGAUGGACCCGCGGCGCAUUAGCUAGUUGGUGAGGUAACGGCUCACCAAGGCGACGAUGCGUAGCCGACCUGAGAGGGUGAUCGGCCACACUGGGACUGAGACACGGCCCAGACUCCUACGGGAGGCAGCAGUAGGGAAUCUUCCGCAAUGGACGAAAGUCUGACGGAGCAACGCCGCGUGAGUGAUGAAGGUUUUCGGAUCGUAAAGCUCUGUUGUUAGGGAAGAACAAGUGCAAGAGUAACUGCUUGCACCUUGACGGUACCUAACCAGAAAGCCACGGCUAACUACGUGCCAGCAGCCGCGGUAAUACGUAGGUGGCAAGCGUUGUCCGGAAUUAUUGGGCGUAAAGGGCUCGCAGGCGGUUUCUUAAGUCUGAUGUGAAAGCCCCCGGCUCAACCGGGGAGGGUCAUUGGAAACUGGGAAACUUGAGUGCAGAAGAGGAGAGUGGAAUUCCACGUGUAGCGGUGAAAUGCGUAGAGAUGUGGAGGAACACCAGUGGCGAAAGGCGACUCUCUGGUCUGUAA
rnacentral:rRNA from 2 species